GAACUUCCCAGCCUCUACAUAUUUUUUUUUCCCAUAAUAGUGGCGCAUGCGUGACCAUGACCAUCAUAACAGGAAUCCUUUGUUAUUAGUCACAUGUUAACUUAACGGUUUGAAUUAUUAUUGUUAUUGGAUUAUGAAUAAACAAGUUUUCUUUUUCUUCUUUUUUUUUUUAAAUUUCAGAUAUACGUAAUCAUGGAGCUUUACUUUUUUUAUUAAUUACUGAUAAAAGAAAUUCUUAUUAAUAACCCAUAAAUGAUUUGAAACCUCGGAUUCAUACUAAAAUUAUGAUGAUUCAAUAGAACUUUAAAAUAAGUUGAAACAUACUAUGAAUAAGACUGUAAGAAUCCUU
rnacentral:lncRNA from 1 species